GUGGGGAAUAUUGGACAAUGGGCGAAAGCCUGAUCCAGCCAUGCCGCGUGUGUGAAGAAGGUCUUCGGAUUGUAAAGCACUUUAAGUUGGGAGGAAGGGCAGUAAGUUAAUACCUUGCUGUUUUGACGUUACCGACAGAAUAAGCACCGGCUAACUUCGUGCCAGCAGCCGCGGUAAUACGAAGGGUGCAAGCGUUAAUCGGAAUUACUGGGCGUAAAGCGCGCGUAGGUGGUUUUGUAAGUUGGAGGUGAAAUCCCCGGGCUCAACCUGGGAACUGCCUCCACAACUGCAUGACUAGAGUACGGUAGAGGGUAGUGGAAUUUCCUGUGUAGCGGUGAAAUGCGUAGAUAUAGGAAGGAACACCAGUGGCGAAGGCGACUACCUGGACUGAUACUGACACUGAGGUGCGAAAGCGUGGGGAGCAAACAGGAUUAGAAACCCGUGUAGUCC
rnacentral:rRNA from 1 species